CGGCUAUCUUUUUGUGAAGGUAGAAAGAGGCAAGCAAGUUGAGGAAUUCCCCAAAUACAGCCAUUUGAAAACCAACUAGCACAUCUUCUCAGAACAAUUUAACAAAAUGAUUGCACUAGAAAGAGCUGAAGCUCCCUCACAGCAAAUAACAGAUAAAAGCUCUCACAAAUCAAAAUCUUUUAGGGUCAUUCGAAUUCACAACUCACGGGGAAAAUUGUUGACUUGGCCUUCCUCUAAUACAUCCUUAUUAUUCACCUUAUAAGCUAUCCGUAUGCGCAUGACAAGGGAUUUCUUGCCGUGCUGGCUGUUUGUGAGUUUCAACUUUUGCAUGAUUGAUCCACUACUAUUUGCAGGUAGCAUAUUACCACUUGCUGGAUCCAAGUGCAAUUGAAGAAACUUUGGAACUGCAGCUUGGAAAAUAAAGUUUGUGAGAACUUCUCCCGACUUGUUUGUAAAACUAGCUUCAAUAAGUGUUGUCUGUGGGUUUUCAGGCUGCUUUGAGAAGUUGAAUGUUAAUUUUAACGAGCUGCUCUCAAAUGCAACUAUUGAUGGAUAUGCAAGACCAUUUCCUUCUGUAACAGCAAUUGGUGAGCUGGAAGGGAACCCAUUCAAUAAAUCCAACAUAGGAGAACUUCCAGCUGUAGUAGAAACUUGAACUGAAGGAGCAGAAGGUGAGGACAGUCUAUCUAAUAGAUCCAUCGGACUUUUAGUGUCAACAUUGGAGGGUGACGCCUGAAUUGUAGAUGGGCUGCUAUUAGCAGAUGGUGUUCCAAUUGACAGAAGAUCCAGUAAAACAUUGGUGCCACUCACUUGGGCCUGAUUUGUACCUGAUUGUGAAGAAACUGGCACCAGAUCAACACCAAGAAGAUCCUGAAGAAAGUCUCCACCAGAAGAGCUAGGUGCAGGAACAUCAUCUGAACUAAGAUCAAGUAAGUCAACAAGAGGGGCAGCACUGGGCUUGGCAACUCCAUUUGGAAGAUUAACUGACACUCCUUGAGAUGUUGACACAGCUGCUGGUACAGAACCAGCUUUCCUUCCACUGUGGGUUGCUUCAUCAAGAACUGGCAUUCUUUCUACGAGUGAAGGCCUGAUAUUCUGAUGCCUUGCAAUUAUUGAGUUAAAUUCAAUAGCUCUCUGUUGCAGUUCAAGCACAAAACUCCCUUUGUAUUGAACAAUGAUGUCAUUUAUCCGCUGUGAACAAGUUGGAAAGCGACUUGACAGCUUUAGCAAAGCAAUCAAACACAUCGCCCGAGUAGUGAGAUCAAAUGAAUGGCUCUUAAAGGAAGUCUCCAAAACAUCCACAGCAUCAGAUUCUGUUACGGUCAAGGGUUCUUCAAUAUCAAGCCUUCCAGCAUUGUUUACUAACAUGUCACCAUAUUCUCCAAUG
rnacentral:misc_RNA from 1 species